CAAGCCUGAACGAGCGACGCCGCGUGCGCGAUGAAGGCCUUCGGGUUGUAAAGCGCGAAAGUGGAAGAGAAAAAGCGAAAGUUUGAAUCAAUCCACAGUAAGGACGGGCUAAGUUCGUGCCAGCAGCCGCGGUAAGACGAACUGUCCUAACGUUGUUCGGAAUCACUGGGCUUAAAGGGGCGCGUAGGCGGUCGAAUAAGUCGGGGGUGAAAUCCUGCAGCUCAACUGUAGAAGUGCCUUCGAUACUGUUCGUCUGGAGGGAGAUAGGGGUGUGCGGAACUUCCAGUGGAGCGGUGAAAUGCGUUGAUAUUGGAAGGAACGCCGGAGGCGAAAGCGGCGCACUGGAUCUCUUCUGACGCUGAGGCGCGAAAGCUAGGGGAGCAAACGGGAUUAGAUACCCCGGUAGUCCUAGCCCUAAACGAUGAGUACUAGAUUGUAGACUGAUCAUGGGUUUACAGUCGAAGCAAAAGUUUUAAGUACUCCGCCUGGGGAGUAUGGCCGCAAGGCUG
rnacentral:rRNA from 1 species